GCUGGCGGCGUGCCUAAUACAUGCAAGUCGAGCGGAUCGAUGGGAGCUUGCUCCCUGAGAUCAGCGGCGGACGGGUGAGUAACACGUGNNUAACCUGCCUGUAAGACUGGGAUAACUCCGGGAAACCGGGGCUAAUACCGGAUAACACCUACCCCCGCAUGGGGGAAGGUUGAAAGGUGGCUUCGGCUAUCACUUACAGAUGGACCCGCGGCGCAUUAGCUAGUUGGUGAGGUAAUGGCUCACCAAGGCGACGAUGCGUAGCCGACCUGAGAGGGUGAUCGGCCACACUGGGACUGAGACACGGCCCAGACUCCUACGGGAGGCAGCAGUAGGGAAUCUUCCGCAAUGGACGAAAGUCUGACGGAGCAACGCCGCGUGAGUGAAGAAGGUUUUCGGAUCGUAAAACUCUGUUGUUAGGGAAGAACAAGUGCCGUUCGAAUAGGGCGGCGCCUUGACGGUACCUAACCAGAAAGCCACGGCUAACUACGUGCCAGCAGCCGCGGUAAUAC
rnacentral:rRNA from 1 species